rnacentral:rRNA from 1 species
UACAGAGGUCUCAAGCGUUGUUCGGAUUCAUUGGGCGUAAAGGGUGCGUAGGCGGUAGGGUAAGUCUGGUGUGAAAUCCUGGAGCUUAACUUCAGAAAUGCACUGGAUACUGCCCUGCUAGAGGACUGGAGAGGAGAUUGGAAUUCACGGUGUAGCAGUGAAAUGCGUAGAUAUCGUGAGGAAGAACAGUGGCGUAAGCGAAUCUCUGGACAGUUCCUGACGCUGAGGCACGAAGGCCAGGGGAGCAAACGGG